CGGCUCGUGUUCGACUCGCGUUCGACUCGAUAUUUGGCUCGCUCGAGCUCGACUCGAAAUUAAAUGAGCCGAACUUGAACAAAAAAAAAGCUCGAAAUUCAUUUCAAUCCGAGCUUGAGUAUUACUUGGCUCAUUCGAAUUAGGCUCGAAAAGCUCGAAUAUAUAUAUAUAUAUAUGCACACACUAUGCUAUCGAAAGUAUAGAGGAUCUGGUGUUUUCUAUUUUUUGAUUCUUAGAUCAACUCCUUUAAUUAUUUUUUAUUUUUGGAUUAAUACUAUUAUUACCUUGUAAAAACCACUCAAUCCUAGGAGUAUUAUUUAAUCCUAGGGGG
rnacentral:lncRNA from 1 species